AGUGAAGCAAACUCUUCCUGCACUUGCAAAUGCUGAACAGUUAGAGGGAAAUCGUGAAAAUAGAGGUGAAGGGCUGAGCAUUUGCCACACCGGUUAGCAUUUGUAUAUGCAGAGACAAUUAGGAAUGCACACUGAGUAUUAUUAAAUUUAGUUCUCAGGUAAUUAUAGCAGAAUGGGAGAAAGAUAAAUAGAAGAACUAUAUAAAAUCUGGACUAUAUAGAAUGCACGUAGUGCUGGCAGUUUAUUCUUAUAAGGGAUCCAGCUGGAGGGCUGAUGUCUGUUUCCUUAUGAUUUUGCUUUUUACACUCAUUUUGACUCCGCUCUGACUUUUGUGUGCCUGAACGGACUGAAACGAAGGGCAACCUGAAACCACCAGCCUUCUUCUCUCUCCUGUAAUGCCUAGAAGGGCUUGUCCCCCUUAGGGAUGGUUGCUGCUGGUUGUAACUGGGUACUGGCUGCCUUCCUUCCCCAGCUCUUCCUCGGACUGGGGCAUGCGUAUCACCCAAGGUGGGGGAAGGAGAGGCAGGCACGUCAAUCCUGUCUCCCUCAUGUUUCCUCAGCUUUCGUCUGCUCUGGCGUGCAGGCUUGCCUGCCUGCAGACUGCUACUUGCUAUGUCCAGUACGUGUGCGUGGCUGUCAACAGGAGAAAUGCUGUAAGACCUUGACCUGGUGGGGAAGGGGUCCUGAGCUAUUUCAGCACCCAAAUCUACUCUAGUACAAUCACCGAGUAGGGGCCUUUCUAGGCAUGCAGUCCCCUUAGAUUUGGGCGUGAUAACUAACCAUAUCCUGCGAGUUGGACGUUUGGCUUACAUCCUCAUAUCUUCCUGCUUGCAGAGAGGUGAAGGGAUUCUGUGCUCCUGGAGGGUCCAUCUGUAACAGGAAAAAGAAGCAUCCUACUUACUUGUGGUCUUUCAAUUACCAAAGGCAUUUAUGCGAGAGUAAGAAGUAUCAGGGAUCAUAUUCUUGCUAAACUCCAAGUGAGCAUUCUUUGCCUUUCCUACCUACAUUUACGAUGGAAUAAAAUGUUGCUCGCUUCUUUUCUGUCUAGAGCUACUGUCUAAUAUAGUUGCGUGAUGUUAAAUUGCUAUAUUUUUUCAGUCUAGAGCAAAUUGCCUUUCAAGACUGAAGGGUUCCCUGUAUGUAAAGUUCAUUCAGUCCAUUAAAAUGAGCAUGCAAACAUAUUUUUAUUGGCAUUAAAUGCUUUGUGUUAUAUGU